rnacentral:sRNA from 1 species
AAGUUGAAUGAAGAAAACUAAUCUCUCUUAUUAGUGGUUUUGUGAGUAAGUUUAUUGUGGGUAUUUUCUUGUUAUGAAGUAGGAGCAUGAUCAAGAACAUAUAAUCU